CGAGCAACUCAUACUUACCUGGCAGGGGAGAUACCAUGAUCACGAAGGUGGUUUUCCCAGGGCGAGGCUUAUCCAUUGCACUCCGGAUGUGCUGACCCCUGCGAUUUCCCCAAAUGUGGGAAACUCGACUGCAUAAUUUGUGGUAGUGGGGGACUGCGUUCGCGCUUUCCCCUGGUUAUCUGGGUUCACCAAGAACAGGCGCAGCUUUUUUCUUUCUCUUCGUGUUGGCGCAGAAGUGGACUUCUGGGCGUUUGGUUGUCCACAGUUAAUGCCUACGGUGUCGGAACAGCAGUCUCGGCAGUGUUUGGGGUUUGUGUUUUUUUUUUUUCUUUUUUUUUCUUCUUUCUCGCGUUGUUUGGCCUCCAACCUAGCCUGGUUCAGCCCCUUCUCACUUUAGAAGAAUGGGAUCAUUUUACAAACCAUCAGAAAAAGGUAAGUCAGGGGUAUGCACCUUAGUUAGUUUUCUCCCAUGCCUUCCUCUUCUGUUCUUCCAUCAUGCUUCACUCUGGUUCAAGGUGUAGGGGAGACAGAACUUUACUUUUUACCCUGUUAGGGUCUCCAGCAGGGCCUGAGAAUUAAAUUGGACGUAAAACAGAAUAUCAGAAAGAAAGCAUACAGAUUUUUUCCAUGUACGUGGGAGACCCCAUAGUAACAUGAAAACCCAAAGAAGUGGCUAGGUGGGUCUCCAAGGAGCCCUGGUUCCUUUUUUUUUUUUUUUUUUUUUUUUUUUUUUUCCAUUUGUGUAUCUGGAGGCCAAGAUCCAGUGGUGCUUAGCGUUCAGGGAUACUGACGUGUGAUUGCAUUUAGGCCCUGCACCUGUUUUACCCCACGGAUUAUGAUCCAUUAUUUUUUCUUAAAUUUUUUUUUAACGUUUAUUUAUUUUUGAGACAGAGAGAGACAGAGCACGAACAGGGGAGGGACAGAGAGAGAGGGAGACACAGAAUCUGAAACAGGCUCCAGGCUCUGAGCUGUCAGCACAGAGCCUGACAUGGGGCUUGAACUCGCGGACCGUGAGAUCAUAACCUGAGCCGAAGUCAGACACUUAACCAACUGAGCCACCCAGGCGCCCCUAUGAUCGAUUAUUAUCAUGAUCUCGAUUUGGCCAGUGGGAACCCUUUCAAAAUGGCUCUUGUGUGCUUGACAUGUCCACAUCAGUGGCACAUUGCUUUACUUUUUGGCACAGCUCCAUGUUUCAGGGCAUGAUGAGGCCGAUUGAUACCCAGCCAUGUCCGCCAGUCUGGUGGCCUGGCUCCUUUGACCCUCCUGUGUGCACCGACCUGGAUCCCUUUGAGGGAGGUGGUUACUUCCUGAAAUAGGUCAAGGUGCUUUGGACUUCCUGGAGAGGCACUGGAGUCAGAGGCGGGAGAGAAGAGAACACCAGGGCCGGGGUUGGACUCCUUGCCCUGGCUCCACGUAUUUUAACAUCCCCUCGGGUGUGUGCCCACCCACCCACCCA
rnacentral:lncRNA from 1 species